UACGUAGGGUGCGAGCGUUGUCCGGAAUUAUUGGGCGUAAAGAGCUUGUAGGCGGUCUGUCGCGUCUGCUGUGAAAAUCCGGGGCUCAACCCCGGACUUGCAGUGGGUACGGGCAGACUAGAGUGUGGUAGGGGAGACUGGAAUUCCUGGUGUAGCGGUGAAAUGCGCAGAUAUCAGGAGGAACACCGAUGGCGAAGGCAGGUCUCUGGGCCGUAACUGACGCUGAGGAGCGAAAGCGUGGGGAGCGAACAGG
rnacentral:rRNA from 1 species